GUUGUUCUCCUAUCUUUUCGGGGUAAGGUAAUAAUUGUGUAUGUACAGCUUCACACGUAUACACAUGUGUAUCAUAUUUAAAGCAUUAAAACAAAACUUCUAAAGUGUAAACAAUGAAUGAAAAAAUAAUUUGAUCAUUUCUAUUUUUCAAUAUCUUUGAUUAAAAAUAUUGAAAAAUGCUCCCCACAAAAACAUUUUCAUUUUU
rnacentral:lncRNA from 1 species